GACGCCGCCACCGCCGGGCCCCUCGGCGCCCCCCGCCCCGCCGCGGACCCACCCCCGGUACCUGUGAGUCGGCGGGAGGAAGCGGCGCUGCUCCGCCCGCCCGAGCCCGGCGCCGCGCAGGAAGCGCCUCCGUUUAAUCAUUCACACUGUCGUCUCAGAAUUCUGUGGAACUGGAGCUGAUCCUGUGCUUACGACUAGUGGUUCUUCCAUUAAACUGCCCCAGCCAUUGCCAAGGACAGAGGACAUGAGCAGAGCACUCUGAUGCAGCCUGGUUCUCCUCAGCAUUGGCAGGUGAAUCCUUCAAGUACAACAACUACAACAACUGCAACUAUGCUGCUCUCCUCUAUGCACUGGGAUGGCUGUUUUGCCAUGAGCAUCAUCACCAUGUCUUCCUCUCUGCCAGCAUCACUGGUAAGUUUGCUGUUUGCUGACUGCUCUCAGCAUGACCCUCAUAAAGCAGCAAUUCUGGCCUUUACCUCUUGCCCAGAAGUCUCCUCUGUUGUCUCUGUUUCCUCAGGCUAGCCAGAACCAGGCCUUUCAGAAGUGUGAAACUCUUGCUUCCUUGCAUGAAGCUGACUCCAGACACAAGUUAGUAACAACAAUUUCCUGUGGUCAGGAGCACCCAGUUCCAAUGCUCUCUCCAAGAGUUUCCAAGACUUCAAGCCUCUUUUGCAUCACAGAAAGAGGACAGUGACUGCAAUGCUGUGAGUUUACCCAGGGAUGGUACAUAAUUAAAUCUUUGACAGAGAGAUCUAAAUACUCAUUUGGUUCAUGGGGCAGCAUACCAGGACAUGCCUAGAUUGACCAUGAUGCAAUGUGACCAGAAGAGAACUGCAGGUCUCAAAUGUCCUUUCCUCAUGCAAGAGAAGUACCUGAAGCAUACAAAGAAGAGUCACACCAUGUGCCCAAGAGCAUUGUCCAAACACUUCUUGAACGUG